rnacentral:lncRNA from 1 species
GGCAACACCAUUAACAGCACUUUUUCUUUGAGACAGUUGGACUUUAUCAUUGAAAGGUUAGCCGGGGUUGGGGUGUACAGUGGGUGAGCAGGAAACACCACCACUCUUUAAAAACCUGCUGCUUCUUCAGGAUCGUAAAUUGGUCUGUGCCCUGAUUAUAAAAUGAAGCCCUUGUUUCUGGAGGAUAAGCCACCUCAGUGGGCCCCCAGGAGAGGUAGAAACUUUGGCAGAGUAUGGUCUGAGGACUUCUUCAUCUGAAGGCAGGACACUGCAGUGUGAGAGGCGGCUUCACACAGACGACAGAGAAUAUUGGCUGACUUGUUCACAGACUCCAUACUUGUAAUUGGACAGCAUAUUUCUUCUCAUUUAGAAAUAGCAGAGCAGAUGGCAGUCCAACAUAAAAAGAAGGAUAUGUCACCAUCUCCAACAGUGGCACAUGGACAAGAGAUCGCAGUGUCUGGGAACCACAUGGCUACUGUGGAAGCAUCACUGUCCAAUAGAACUUUCCAGGCGUCUCCCCGCUGACAACAUUGCCCAAUUUUGAAUCCCGACAUCUUCAUUUCAGAAGUCUGAAAAUGAAACUGCAAAGGUCAGGUUUCAUUGUAAUUACAGGCUAUGGUGAAAAAAGACCACGUUCCUUAGGAUUGAGCUGCCACCCACUGCUUGCUUUGGAGAGCGCAGGGCUUGGGGAAAAUGUCAUUGUGCAAUUCAAGUGAAUGAUUGUACCUGGCACUUGGAUCAUCAUGAAAUAUUUGGCCAUAUUUCACAGUGUCUGACUUCGUCAACACAUGAGGAAGGAAAGACUUUAAAGAGGACUCUGAUUUAGCAUACAUGAACACAGCAUACUUCCAACUUCUGGAAUGUCCUUUUCUCCUUUAUGUAAUGAAUGGCUCUCAACCUUCAGAUCUUAUCUCA